rnacentral:rRNA from 1 species
UACAGAGGGUGCGAGCGUUAAUCGGAAUUACUGGGCGUAAAGCGUGCGUAGACGGUCAUGUAAGUCGGGUGUGAAAUCCCCGGGCUCAACCUGGGAACUGCAUCCGAGACUGCAUUGCUAGAGUAUGGGAGAGGGAAGCGGAAUUUCUGGUGUAGCAGUGAAAUGCGUAGAUAUCAGAAGGAACAUCAGUGGCGAAGGCGGCUUCCUGGACCAAUACUGACGAUCAGGUGCGAAAGCGUGGGGAGCAAACAGG